rnacentral:rRNA from 1 species
GACGGGGGGGACGAGCGUUAUUCAUAAUUAUUGGGCGUAAAGGGCAAGUAGACGGUAUUGUAGAGUUAAAUAUGAAAGGCCAGAUGCAAAUGUGUUGAACAUAUUUAAAACGCAAUGACUAGAGUUAAGCAGAGGAUAGUAGUACUCCGAAUGGAGGGGUGAAAUCCAUAGAGAUUGUGGAGGACUUGCGAGCGGCGAAGGCGGCUAUCUGGGCGAUAACUGACGUUGAAGGGCGAAGGCAUAGGGAGCAAACAGG